rnacentral:lncRNA from 1 species
AAAGUCAGGGGUGAUCAUGGACAUUUGGUUUGAUUGUGGCAUAUUGUUGUAGUUUAGCAAAGGAUUCCUCCUAGUACUGGGCUAGUCUAAGUCGGUCAUUUUUCCGGCAUCAAUGAGGUCUUGAAUUUCAUAUUUCAGUCGGAUGUAGUUCUCUGUGCAGUGCCCGGGUGCUUGGUGGAAUUUAUAGUAGGUGUUGGGUUUGUAGCCAAGUGCAUUCGGG